rnacentral:rRNA from 1 species
UGCAAGUCGAGCGCGCCCUUCGGGGUGAGCGGCGGACGGGUUAGUAACGCGUGGGAAUAUGCCCUUUGGUACGGAAUAGCCUCUGGAAACGGAGAGUAAUACCGUAUGAGCCCUUCGGGGGAAAGAUUUAUCGCCAAAGGAUUAGCCCGCGUUAGAUUAGGUAGUUGGUGGGGUAAUGGCCUACCAAGCCUACGAUCUAUAGCUGGUUUUAGAGGAUGAUCAGCAACACUGGGACUGAGACACGGCCCACACUCCUACGGGAGGCAGCAGUGGGGAAUCUUGGACAAUGGGGGCAACCCUGAUCCAGCCAUGCCGCGUGAGUGAUGAAGGCCCUAGGGUCGUAAAGCUCUUUCGCCUGUGAAGAUAAUGACGGUAGCAGGUAAAGAAACCCCGGCUAACUCCGUGCCAGCAGCCGCGGUAAUACGGAGGGGGUUAGCGUUGUUCGGAAUUACUGGGCGUAAAGCGCACGUAGGCGGAUCGGAAAGUUGGGGGUGAAAUCCCGGGGCUCAACCCCGGAACUGCCUCCAAAACUAUCGGUCUAGAGUUCGAGAGAGGUGAGUGGAAUUCCGAGUGUAGAGGUGAAAUUCGUAUAUAUUCGGAGGAACACCAGUGGCGAAGGCGGCUCACUGGCUCGAUACUGACGCUGAGGUGCGAAAGUGUGGGGAGCAAACAGGAUUAUAUACCCUGGUAGUCCACACCGUAAACGAUGAAUGCCAGUCGUCGGGUAGCAUGCUAUUCGGUGACACACCUAACGGAUUAAGCAUUCCGCCUGGGGAGUACGGUCGCAAGAUUAAAACUCAAAGGAAUUGACGGGG